UACGAAGGGGGCUAGCGUUGCUCGGAAUCACUGGGCGUAAAGGGUGCGUAGGCGGGUUUUUUAAGCAGGGGUGAAAUCCUGGAGCUCAACUCCAGAACUGCCUUUGAUACUGAAGAUCUUGAGUCCGGGAGAGGUGAGUGGAACUGCGAGUGUAGAGGUGAAAUUCGUAGAUAUUGGGAAGAACACCGGUGGCGAAGGCGGCGACCUGGUUCAUAACUGACGCUGAGGCGCGACAGCGUGGGGGGAGCAAACAGG
rnacentral:rRNA from 1 species